GAGUCAGCCAGGAGGCCGUGGAGAGGACAGGUUGGCUGUCUCCUUUGCCUGUAGGUGGUCUGGGGCCCCAGCAGUGGGAGACCUGUAACUUCAGGCACCACUGGAAGAACUUAAGCCCAGAGAAGGAAACGGCUCUUCCACUCCCCAGCGCCCCUCCCCAGAUGGUGCAUCAGAACCUGGAGGGUUGCAGGACAAUCUCAAGAGCAGCAGGCAGACAUCUGAACCGUGGUAAGGUUUUGGGGCCCAAGGCAGGGAAGCCCGUCCCCUAAGGACAAAGGGGAGCUUGAUCACUUCCCAGGGAAUGACCACUAAUCCAACCCAGAGCGGUUGGGGGCGGCAGGAGAGUCUUGCCCAUUUGGAUGAACCUCUUGUCCCCACUAACAAAGUGAAAGUGGUUCACUGGAUCUGGAGACAGGAACUGGAAAAGGGGAGGAAAUGGGCCAAUAGAGCGGCAAGUGCAGCAAGGUAGAGAUUGCUGGCAGGGUGGCAAGAGUGGCUUGCCACCCCAACUGGGAGUGUGUGGGUGCAUGUGAACCCACCCGGGACACGAGAGACACUUGUUUCAUCUGAUGAGGAGUCCCGGGGC
rnacentral:lncRNA from 1 species